UGAUAGUCAGCAGCGAGUGCCUCCGCUUCC
rnacentral:sRNA from 1 species